UCACAGAGGAAGAGUUUGUUUUGAGUAAUUUGUCUUAUUUUCUUUUUUUCAUCCCUUUCCUGUCCCUAAGGAUAGUGUGAGUGUGCACAUAUAGGGGUGUGUGUAUAUAUAUUUACCAGAAAAAUCUGAUACUCCUGGCUCUUUUGAUGGAUUUGAUGUUUGCUGGAAUUUUUUUCUCUUCCACUGAGGUGGCUUCAUUGUGUGGGUGGUCAAGUUAGUUCACGUCUUCUAGUAGCUGUGUUGUACAAGCCAGAGGAGACCAGACUAUCCUUGCUGGUGGGAUACCAACUAUGUUUUCUGACUGGCUAAUGUGACAAAAUGGGAGUUAGGAAGGACCCAUCCGCUUAAGGAGCGGACUAGGCUGACCUACGGUCAAGAGGAUUUUACCUGUGGGCAAUGUGGCUAGAAUAUCAAUUUGGUAUCUGGAGGCUGCUGCAUCUUUGAUGGGGGUUUGUUAAACACACCUGUAAUGCAGAUAUUAAAACAUACCCUUCAGUUGUGUAAACAGUCUGACCUGAGGGGAAGGAGGGAAAUGUAAUAAUAAGAACAUGUUUAGAAGUGUCAAAAUUAGUGCUGAGUGCUUAACUUCUGGUAGUGAUAUUGCUGAUACAAUCUGUAGAUGUGCUUAGUGCUCUUAUUAGUGUCAAUGGAAUAAAGAUACUGUGGAGUGG